rnacentral:rRNA from 1 species
UACGUAGGCAGCGAGCGUUGUUCGGAGUUACUGGGCGUAAAGGGUGUGUAGGCGGUUGUUUAAGUUUGGUGUGAAAUCUCCCGGCUCAACUGGGAGGGUGCGCCGAAUACUGAAUGACUUCGAGUGCGGGAGAGGUGAGUGGAAUUCCUGGUGUAGCGGUGAAAUGCGCAGAUAUCAGGAGGAACACCCGUAGCGAAGGCGGCACUCUGGGCCGAUACUGACACUGAGGAGCGAAAGCGUGGGGAGCGAACAGG